CUGGCAGAGUCAGGGGAAAGCUGACAUGGAAACUCGCUUGGGAACUCCUGUGGCCAGGGAUGGACGGCUCCGCCUGACAGCAGCUCUGCAUGACUUAAAGGAAAACUGGAUGAAACCUGACACCGAGGGUGUGCAGUUUCCUUAGCAAGGAUUGCACGUUGCUGUUUCGGAAAUGGUGACUAAGAAGAGUUUUGCCGUCGAUCUCCCAGAACUCACAGCAAGCUACGGAGACCUUCCUCACACGUAAAAAGCAAACACCAAAAGCCACCACCCAGCAAACACGACCAGCUACAGCUUCGUCUCAUUCCCACCACCAUCAAACCUUCCUGCCAGAAGCCGCGCGUGGAUUCUUUCAUCCCCUAAAGGGAGCGAUUUGGAAAACUACUGAUACGAACGUUGGAUAAGAGGGUUAAAGUGAAACUAUUUUGCAAGCUGCCGCCUGGAGCCCACUCGGCAUCACCGGCUGCACACGCGCGGCUGCCGUCGGCCCGGGAUCGCGGCGACUCUGGCCAAGAGACCAGCUUUGAGUUUAGUGGUCCAUAGGAGACGCUUUGAACGAAUCUAAACACUAUUUGAUGCCUGACCUUGUGAAUAUC